rnacentral:rRNA from 1 species
UACGGGGGGGGCAAGCGUUGUUCGGAUUUACUGGGCGUAAAGGGCGCGUAGGCGGCGCAACAAGUCACUUGUGAAAUCUCCGGGCUUAACCCGGAGCGGCCAAGUGAUACUGUCGUGCUAGAGUGCGGAAGGGGCUACUGGAAUUCUCGGUGUAGCGGUGAAGUGCGUAGAUAUCGAGAGGAACACCUGCGGCGAAGGCGGGUAGCUGGGCCGACACUGACGCUGAGGCGCGAAAGCCAGGGGAGCGAACGGG